GCUGUGCACGGUCACUUAAUGUAAGGCCAGCGUGAUGGAGAGACGCCGGGCGCUGCCGUCGUGGAUGUCAACGGAGGAGGAGAAGAAGAAGGAAAAGAUGAAGGAGCCACUGAAGAGAUGCAGAAAACGGAAAGUUGCGAAGACCGUCUUCUACUGUAUGAACGAGAGAGAAUUGGUCGAAGCCGCCGUUUCGUGUCUUACCAGCAGCGCCCGCCAGGAUGUAGCUGUUUCCACCGACCACCAGGAGCAGGUUGGAAACAAGGCAGGAGACACAGGAGCCAUGAGGGAGAAACCUGCCUCUUUAAAAACCAACUUAAAGCACGCAGCAGACGUUUCAGAUGAGGAUUCCUCGUGCUGCGGAGAUGACCUGGAGACGACAUACAUUUCAGAGACAGAUAUGAACAUUACGGAGGUAGAGACUCUGCCAUACACGGAGAGGAGCCCACUGCAUCAGAAGAACCCUGCACCAGAAGUAGUUACACAGGGUCCCAGCGAUGUGAUGGGUGUCGAGGUGGAGGCUGAGCAGACAAGGGAGGCCCCACAGAUGAAAGCAGAGGCACAAGAGGAGGAUGAAGCUUUGAGACUUGUGCGGGAAAUUUUUUUCACAUGAUAAUAAGCUAUAUUAGUAUUUCUUUUAAAUGUAAUUUAAGUUAGUUUAUCUGUUUUCGGCAGAAACAAAAUGCCAGUUUAAUGUAAUGUGGAGUGGCACCACCUGGGCUGCUGUGUCCGGGAACAAACAAGAUACUAUUUCUUUACUAUUCCCAGGAAGAUUAUAGAGCAUAUUCUUAACGGAUGUAUGUGUGUGUGUGUGUGUGUGUGUGUGUGUGUGUGUGUGUUUACUGUUUUAUCCAGUAAAGAUUGCAGCCAACAUAGCUGCAGCUCAAACCUGUUCACAUUUCUGUUUUUAAGUGAGAUUGAGUAGAAUAUUAGAGAAUAUUAGUUUUGAUCACCAUUAUUAUUUCUCAAACCAAAGAUUCUGUCACAGUUUAGUGAAAAUGUAACAUUUUAGUUAAUUUGUGACUAAAAGGCUUGGAUCCAUCCAUAUCCACUCCUUUCCUUCCUAAUAAAGACACAACUUGCGUGUGAGCUUGUGCUCAGUUACCUCGGAGCCGCAGGGUUCACGCCUAAUGCAAGAUAAAUGGCAUUUUAAUUCUGCGCUGUUUGCUUACGUUUGUGAAACGAGGACGUCGCCGUGCUUCAGGAAGUGCAGUGGUCCUGUGUUGGUGCCGCGCGCACAACAGGCGCGCGCGCCGCACGCACGCACGGACGGCGCGCAGCGGCGUUUUUGCAGAACUGUGUGCGCCCUGUGGCUGCUGCUGCUGCGCUGUCACAGACGUGCGGACUUCAGCGACCGAAAGUGCGAUCGUCUGCAAAUUCGUCCGCUUUUACUGCGAGGCCGGAAUCCAGAAGAUUCAACAUGGGAAACAAGAUCAGCAGAAGACGAGACACUCUGAAAAGCGCAGAGUCCGCUGCCACUGAGGAUCCGGCAGACGCUCAGCAAGCGGAGGAGCCCGAGGCCCCACGCACCCAGGAGGCCGCUGAGGAAGAGGAUCUAGACGUGGUUGUGGGGGAGCCGGUGACAGAGGUGGCGUGUUUACCGUCUGGAGAGUGCACGUCUGACAUGAAACCGCCCAAAACCACCGCCGCAACGCCCGACGCAGACGACGACGUCGAAACAGAAACCCCGGCUCCGAAGUCAGGACCUGUUGAGGAACCACAGCCUGUUGCAGCGGCCCAGCUUGCUCCAGAACCCGAGCUCACCCCAAACCCGCAGGUAGAAGCUGACGUCGCCCCCGGGCCCAUCUCGGAGCCGGGACCAGGCCCGGCUGAGGAUCUGGAGCAGACAGACAUGCUUACCCAAGAGGCUGCGCCUCAGCCGGUGAUUUCCUCAUCCGCAUUAGUCGACCUGGGUGUUGCUGUGACUCUUCAACCCGUUAUCGCUCCCAUCCACAGCCCAGUCCAUGCAGACAAGCCCUUAGACGUGACAUUGGCCGAGGAAUGCCAGGGCGACGCUCAGGCUGCCGAGAGCUCCACGCCCGAGCCAGAAAAGCCUGGAGAAAUGUCAGAGUGUCUGGAAGAGGCUGGGGAGAAUUUGCUUGUGGGUGAUGUCAAUGAGGACAGUGUUAGCGCACUCCUAAAGAACUUGGAGCUGCACGGGAAUGACCUGGUCACUGAUCUCAUUCCCAGUGAUGUCAAGAUGCCUGACGAAACUCCCAGCGCAGACGUGUGCAGCUCCGCGGAGCUCAUGUGAAACCACUGAAGACAAAGUCAGGGCAGGCGUGAACAGAUUUUUACAAUGAAAGCCAAAGCUUUUCCAUGACAUCUAAUAGAAUCACAGAUAGAACAUUUCUUCCUCGAGUCGCCGAAUGGAGGCACGCAACCUUUUCCUCACCCCACACCUUCUGAGUCAGCGGAGAGGGAGCUGAUGUCCUAUUGCUUUUCACACUAAACUAUAAAACUAUAUAUUGAUAAAUUUAGCUGGUAGUGUUUGUAUAAUGCUAGCGGGGAUGUGGCUGAAUUAUGAAUGUGCUGUUGGACAACAGAGAUCUUUCUCUAUGCAAAUUCACCAGGCAGGCAUUUGAAUAUAUCGUGCAACGUUAAAGAGGGGGGGAGUAAAAACACCUCUCUGUUGAGCACCACCUUGAUGCUUUUGAAAUUGUGAAUUCAGUAAAUGGAGCACAGUAAUACAGACAGUCCAUACAUGCGACUAUAGCAGUAUGUUGUAUCGUUCAACUGUUGUCUAACGCUCAUGUUUGGACUUUGCUGCAUUCAAGAGUGAUGAGUUCUUUUUGUAUUUUUAAGGGAUUUUCUUUCCUUUAAGUAGGAGCUUGCUUGUAAUAAUAAACCACAUUAUUCCAUGCUA